CUGUGAAGAACUGAGUUAUGUGACAUAAAGAGACAGAAAGAUAAAGGGAGUGAGAGAAGAAGAGAUGCAGGGUUGAUGUAAUAUCUGAUGAGAUGCAGGGUUGGUAUAAUAUCUGAUGAGAUGCAGGGUUGGUAUAAUAUCUGAUGAGGUGCAGGGUUGGUGUAAUAUCUGAUGAGGUGCAGGGUUGGUGUAAUAUCUGAUGAGGUGCAGGGUUGGUGUAAUAUCUGAUGAGGUGCAGGGUUGGUGUAAUAUCUGAUGAGGUGCAGGGUUGGUGUAAUAUCUGAUGAGGUGCAGGGUUGGUGUAAUAUCUGAUGAGGUGCAGGGUUGGUGUAAUAUCUGAUGAGGUGCAGGGUUGGUGUAAUAUCUGAUGAGGUGCAGGGUUGGUGUAAUAUCUGAUGAGGUGCAGGGUUGGUGUAAUAUCUGAUGAGGUGCAGGGUUGGUGUAAUAUCUGAUGAGGUGCAGGGUUGGUGUAAUAUCUGAUGAGGUGCAGGGUUGGUGUAAUAUCUGAUGAGGUGCAGGGUUGGUGUAAUAUCUGAUGAGGUGCAGGGUUGGUGUAAUAUCUGAUGAGGUGCAGCGUUG